UACGAAGGGGGCUAGCGUUGCUCGGAUUUACUGGGCGUAAAGGGCGCGUAGGCGGACAGUUAAGUCGGGGGUGAAAGCCCGGGGCUCAACCUCGGAAUUGCCUUCGAUACUGGCUGUCUUGAGUACGGGAGAGGUGUGUGGAACUCCGAGUGUAGAGGUGAAAUGCGUAGAUAUCGGAAGGAACACCAGUGGCGAAGGCGGCUACCUGGACUGAUACUGACACUGAGGCGCGAGAGCGUGGGUAGCAAACAGG
rnacentral:rRNA from 1 species